UAAAGGGUGAUCUCCACCUCAAUGUAGCUGGGGCAUUUUCAAGUAGGGGAACAGAGGAUCUGUGAGAAAGAGAAAAAAAAAAAAUCUGGACUCCCACACUCCUUGCCUUGAGCAGGGAGUGGUUGCCCUCCAACCAUCUUUCCUCUCUUGCACAACAGUUUCCAAAGGGCUCCCCUCUAGUUCUCUAUUUUGCGUCUAUUACAAAUUCCCCUCCACUGAGGGGGAAUACACUGAGCUAGCAUUUUCUUGCACUAAAAGGCUGGCUGAGUAGAAGAACCAGUCCAGCCUUCAUUAAUAGCCCAAGCAAGAGGUUAAAGUCAUAAACCUAAACAGGAAGAGAAAGUGAAAGCCACUUCUUUUAAAGAGUAAGGAGGAAGAUUGAUUCCUGUUUAGGGUUUUCAUUUCCCCAUCAUCUUCACCCUCUAAGAACUGAGGCAAGAAGUGACUCUCUACCUAACUUAGGAUAGAAAGAUGGAAGUAGACCAAAAAGUCUACUUGUUGGCAGCAGUACAGCUUUCUGGGCUUAGCGUCCAGGUACCUGAGACAUGUUCCAAAUCCUUUUUCUGGCACUACUCUUCCAAUGUAAAACUUAAGCGUAUCGAAUGCAGCUUGAAUUGGUUUAUUUCCAAGAUUUUUGCUGUCUGUUUUUCCAUCAGAUCACAUUACUAAGAAACUACUGGAAAAGCAAAGUAAAGCAAGAAUGGCUGAGUGGGAAAUACAGUAACAUUCACUCGCAAAACAACUUGCCAGAGAAAAGCAUGUAUCCGAUGGAUGUUGACACGUGGGGAGAAAUCCUGGAAGCAGAACUAGAGAGAUGAGAAACCAGUACAGCUUCUUGCAACUCAAGAACCUUACGUCAACAGCUCAUGGACAGCCAAACUCAGCACAACAUGGCAUUCCACAAAGGAAGGCUGGGGGGAGGACAAAUCCAGAUACUGGAAAGGAAUGGGCAGCCACCUCAGCAUCAGCUGAUCCAUCCCCAGGGGCCGCAUCAAGGGACAGAGCCUUCACAGAGCUUUUCUGAGCCUGCACACUUGGAGGCGCUGGUGCUCAGCAGCUCUGCAUUUCUGUUGCCCAGCUGUAGGAGUUCUGAAUUAAGACUCACAGAUUGAAGCAACAGGUAGGACUGAGGCAGCCACUUAAUGCCCAGCCUUGCUGUCAUUAGCUACGCAUUUUUUUCACUUAUAUAACAAUGUGAUAGGGAAUAAAAAAAAAAAAAUCACUUCCA
rnacentral:lncRNA from 1 species